rnacentral:rRNA from 1 species
GACGAACGCUGGCGGCGUGCCUAAUACAUGCAAGUAGAACGCUGAAGGAGGAGCUUGCUUCUCUGGAUGAGUUGCGAACGGGUGAGUAACGCGUAGGUAACCUGCCUGGUAGCGGGGGAUAACUAUUGGAAACGAUAGCUAAUACCGCAUAAGAGUAGAUGUUGCAUGACAUUUGCUUAAAAGGUGCAAUUGCAUCACUACCAGAUGGACCUGCGUUGUAUUAGCUAGUUGGUGGGGUAACGGCUCACCAAGGCGACGAUACAUAGCCGACCUGAGAGGGUGAUCGGCCACACCGGGACUGAGACACGGCCCAGACUCCUACGGGAGGCAGCAGUAGGGAAUCUUCGGCAAUGGACGGAAGUCUGACCGAGCAACGCCGCGUGAGUGAAGAAGGUUUUCGGAUCGUAAAGCUCUGUUGUAAGAGAAGAACGAGUGUGAGAGUGGAAAGUUCACACUGUGACGGUAUCUUACCAGAAAGGGACGGCUAACUACGUG